GCCCUUAGAGUUUGAUCAUGGCUCAGAACGAACGCUGGCGGCAGGCCUAACACAUGCAAGUCGAGCGAGGACUUCGGUCCUAGCGGCGGACGGGUGAGUAACGCGUGGGAACGUGCCCUUUGCUACGGAACAGUCCCGGGAAACUGGGUUUAAUACCGUAUACGCCCUUCGGGGGAAAGAUUUAUCGGCAAAGGAUCGGCCCGCGUUGGAUUAGGUAGUUGGUGGGGUAAUGGCCUACCAAGCCGACGAUCCAUAGCUGGUUUGAGAGGAUGAUCAGCCACACUGGGACUGAGACACGGCCCAGACUCCUACGGGAGGCAGCAGUGGGGAAUCUUAGACAAUGGGGGCAACCCUGAUCUAGCCAUGCCGCGUGAGUGAAGAAGGCCCUAGGGUUGUAAAGCUCUUUCAGCGGGGAAGAUAAUGACGGUACCCGCAGAAGAAGCCCCGGCUAACUCCGUGCCAGCAGCCGCGGUAAUACGGAGGGGGCUAGCGUUGUUCGGAAUUACUGGGCGUAAAGCGCGCGUAGGCGGACUGGAAAGUUGGGGGUGAAAUCCCGGGGCUCAACCCCGGAACUGCCUCCAAAACUAUCA
rnacentral:rRNA from 1 species